rnacentral:tRNA from 1 species
GGGCGUGUAGCUCAGCUUGGGAGAGCGCCUCGCUGGCAGCGAGGAGGUCAGGGGUUCGAUCCCCCUCACGUCCA